AUCUCUUAUUCCUACUUCUUUAGGGAACCUUGGAUAGCUGAUCGGUUGAUCUGCACUUACGUCCAUCUAAUGUUUAAGAGACAAUUUCAAGUGUUCAUCUAAUUACAGAUUUCUAAAUUGGCACGGCAGACUUUAUGAGAAGUCAUGUCCUUUCAAAAAAAAAGGACAACGACUAUACAGACAACAAGCUUCCUUGUUUGCUUACCGUUGGCUGCUACCCUUGAAUCUCCCUUUUUACUUCCUUACAAGGGCCCUCUUCAUUUGAGGGUAAUCCUACUAGUAAUCCUUUGAUACUUGUCAUGGACUUUAUCCACUGGUGAAAAUCAACAAUAGAAUGCUGUAACUCAAGACUUAUAAAUUGUAUAGUUAGCUAAAUUACAAGUGCAUAUUUGGGCUCCCUUCUUUUCUGUGGCCCUGUUUCCCUAACUGACCACUAACCAACGCCCGCCGCUGGUCACUCACCCGCUUCGAAACCAGGAGG